UCAGAUCCCAGCAAGAGGAGAGAGGCAUUUCUGGGUUUAACCUCAGCUCUGACAUCGGCUGUUUCACGGGUUUGGAGAAACCAGAGAACUUCAGCACGGGUGCUUGCAGUGGCCUAAAUUGUGCACAGGUACAGACCUGCCUGGGACCAUGCCUGGAGUCCUUCUGACCAAGAGCUGUGCUGGGUCCCUGCAGCAGAGAGCAGGGACUGCAGGCUCUGCCCCUCUCCCAGAAAAAUGAGACAUCUGCUGAUGAUUUACAACCAGGAAGACUUCCCAAGGAGCCGUGCAACAACAGUUUAUAGAAGUAUCCAGAGACCAUCAUGUGAGAAACAUUAAUGAGCUCCACAAAGGAGGCUUUGGGCAACGUGGUUCCAGAUACAAAUUUAAAUUUUUAAAGUCAAUAAAUGUCAGCUAUUGGUUGAGCAAGGCCCAGGCAACUCUCAGCUUGGUAGCAUGUCUGGUCU